ensembl:lncRNA
CUGAUGAAAUAGGUAACAGCAGAAAGGCAAGUCAAGCUAGAAGGAGAAGAAAAAAGAUGUUUAAUCAAUAAAUUAAAAAAAAAAAAGUUUUUUAUGUAGAGUAAUUUUUAUGUUCUUAAACAAUCAGGCCACAAUACAAAUGUGAUUGCUUUUAAAUCAGGUAGUGUCUGAUGCUGGAGACUUCUUCCACACUGAAGGAACAAUGGCAAUUCUUAAGGAACAGAACAGGAGCAUAAAGGGAGAGAGAAGCAUGUAGUAUUCCUUCUGCUGCAGAAGUUCAGCAGCCCAAAGAGAAACACACGAAUGGAUACAAAUUCAGAAAAUGAAGCCUUUCAUAAAGAUAAUGUGGCGCAUUCAAUGAUCUACAGAAAUGAGGGAAAUUGUAAGCAAUUUUCUCUGCCAGUUUGGCUUUCUUUUCAUCUCUCAGAAAUAUUUUAGAGAUAACUCACAUUACUGCCUUGAAGUUUAAAGAGGAAUGGAAAUGGAUGAGUUGGAUUGUCCUUUAUCCUGCCUUUCAUAUGGGGCAAUUGUGAGCUAAAUCAGGCCACGUGGCUAUAUCUUAUGCAGGUGUAAAUGACUGAAGCGUACUUUCAAAGUGUGAUUCAGCUGUCAUAGUUUAGUUGUCUGUUUUCAGAUGAGAUGAAUUGCAUUGCAGAAAUGCCAGUUUAUUCUUAUUGACUAUAAAGGGAGCCUUGGGUGACCAGCUCAGAUAAAAGGAAAACAUAACCAAAAAUGGGAGAGAGUAUCCGAGAAAGAGUGUAUGAGCAUGUAAUGAAAGAAUGCAUCAUCACUCUUACAGGCUCUGAAGCUAAAUGAAUAUUGCAUGCACCACUGCCAUCUCACAUUUAGUAAGUACUUAUCUUUCAGCCUUCCUGUUAUCUCAGGGUAACGCGCUAUAACAGUCUACCAAGAGGAUUCACAUCAUGGACAUGAACGCACUCACAUACGUUCUUCUCCCCACUAUUCCCUCAACAUGAAGAUGAAGUUUCUCAGGAGACAAAGAACUGUUCAACACUGUUAUGAAAUCGAGGACAGAAAUCCAACUGGGAUAAUGUGCAAAGCGUGUGGAAUUAAGGCAAGGUGAGAGAACAUCCUCUUUACUUUGUCUUUGUCUAUAAGGAUCAGGAAGAGAUAUAGGUCCCAGCAGCACAGACACUUUCCCACGAGGAACAGUCUGCUGAAUAUAAAUAUUGUAGGCAGUGAGUCACCAAAGAUGAAGUCAUUGAUUUAUGCAAGGACUGCAGAGUUUGGAUUUGGUGGGAGAGGAUUUCUUGUCCAAAUGCAGCCAGACUGUGAUAUGCAAAUCACAGAAUUGCAGGAAUUGGAAGAGACCUCAAGAGUCCAACCCCUGCUAAAGCAGGUUCCCUACAACAGGUCACACAGCAGGAGAAUUCAUCUGAACCAUGAACAAAGCAGUCCAUACUGGAGUUCAGGAUUAUCUUUUUACUUCUUUCUUUGUGGACUGAAAGUAUGGAGAGGAUAAAACAAAAACAAAAACAAAAGAAACAAAAACAACCUGAAGAAGAGCCUUUGCGAAUAUAUGAUUUAUGGAAAAAAAAUGUGUAAUACGGAAUGUCAGCUCUUCUGGAGGUCUUUUGCCUUUUGGCACUCUCCAUUCAAAGGAGCACCCAAGAUUCCCAGUAUAAUCUGUGGUAUGCAUGUAUGUCUAUUUGUCAUAGCUGCUCCCAGUGGGAGUUUUAGUGCUGAAUGAAGUGUCAGUAAAGGUGCACUGCCAAUGACCAUAUUCAAACAUCCUUUCAUUAAUGCAACCUUACAGUGAUCUUAGCUCUGUCCAUGUUCCUAAGAAUUUAUUCGGAAUUACACCUUGUCUAUCUUUCCAUGAAGAUGAUGGUUGAUUAAAUGUCUGGAAAACCUUCUAAGUGUCUUUGUUUCUGUUCCACUGAAUAAGUGCUGCAACUGUUGUACGGACAGGAGAAAUAGAUAUGAAGAAGCCUUCACAACAAGGAAGGCAUUUGUGGUUGGCUGAACAUCCAUACCAUCAAUGGAAAUGGAGACUAAGUCUUUAUCUGAGUCCAUAUCACAUCUAUGGGAGUUUUUCCAUUGACCUCAAUGGGUCAAAGGGAUCAAGUAUUUUAUUUUAUUUUAUUUUAUUUUAUUUUAUUUUAUUUUAUUUUAUUUUAUUUUAUUUUAUUAUUUUAUUUUUUUGUUAGAAUUUCUUUCCAUCAAGUUGGAGAAACAGGAUGUAAAUAUUGAGUCACCGUCCCCAUUGCUAACCAUGCACCAAGAUUAGCCAGUUGGACUUGGUGUGGGACUUACCUCCUAAGAGGUCAUGAUCCCCGUGACCGAGGAGCCCAUUCAGGUAGGGAUGAGUGAAUUUUUGCUUUGAAAUAGAUGUCAUCCAUCAGUAGAUACUACAAGCAAGACCUCAAGUUCCAGAAAUUUCAACACUUUCAAGUCAAGAGCUCAGUGAAACCAAAGCUGUGAAGAAGAUGUAAUAAAAGAAACUGAAGAGGAAGUGAAAGGGAAGAAGACUGUGUGAUUUUUGAGGAAGAAUCUACAUGCAGCGCUGGCAGAAGCAGUGGCUUUGUUGACUUGGGUGUGCAGCUGGUUCCUGGACAUUCCUGGGGCAAAUCUCAUGAUUGCUGAUGCCAGUGAAAAGCUAUGCUGAGCCUGAUGGACCCACACAGCAGCAAUGGGAUCUGUCAACAGAGAUUGAUGUCAGCGUUAAAUCCAACUGUAGCUAAAGGGCAUCUCUGCUGGGUUGUGACAGUAGCAAAACCAUGUUGAAAGCCAGAUUUCAUCCAAUGCACUACGAGGGACACUUUAAAACAAGUUAAAGGGUUUUAUGACCUGAUUUGGCCUUAUUUGCUCUGAGCACUGCUGCCAUUGAGUACAGCACUAAUCUGGUUUGGUCACAGUAGAGUUCACAUUUUUAUGGGCUGAUGACAAAUUAGUAUGAGGCUCAUUUACUUUGCAUAGAACAAGCCAUCAGCUCCCAAGCUGCAUGGGCAACCAGUCCUGCUGAUGCCGAAUUACCUGCCUCUCC